rnacentral:rRNA from 1 species
UACGUAGGGGGCUAGCGUUGUUCGGAUUCACUGGGCGUAAAGGGUGCGUAGGCGGUCGGGUAAGUCUGAUGUGAAAUCUCACAGCUUAACUGUGAAACUGCAUUGGAUACUAUCCGGCUCGAGGAAUGGAGGGGAGACUGGAAUACUUGGUGUAGCAGUGAAAUGCGUAGAUAUCAAGUGGAACACCAGUGGCGAAGGCGAGUCUCUGGACAUUUCCUGACGCUGAGGCACGAAAGCCAGGGGAGCAAACGGG